AUUCCUACGGGAGGCAGCAGUGAGGAAUCUUGCGCAAUGGGCGAAAGCCUGACGCAGCAACGCCGCGUGUGUGAUGAAGGUCUUCGGAUCGUAAAGCACUGUCGGGAGGGACGAAUAAGGGCCGGGUGAACAAUCCGGUCUGACGACGGUACCUCCAAAGGAAGCACCGGCUAACUCUGUGCCAGCAGCCGCGGUAAUAAU
rnacentral:rRNA from 1 species